rnacentral:rRNA from 1 species
UACGGAGGGUGCAAGCGUUAUCCGGAUUCACUGGGUUUAAAGGGUGCGUAGGAGGGCAGGUAAGUCAGUGGUGAAAUCCCCGAGCUUAACUUGGGAACUGCCGUUGAUACUAUCUGCCUUGAAUACCGUGGAGGUGAGCGGAAUAUGUCAUGUAGCGGUGAAAUGCUUAGAUAUGACAUAGAACACCAAUUGCGAAGGCAGCUCGCUACACGAAUAUUGACUCUGAGGCACGAAAAGCGUGGGGAUCAAACAGG